GACGAACGCUGGCGGCGUGCUUAACACAUGCGAGUCGAACGGAAAGGCCCUGCGUUUGUGGGGUGCUCGAGUGGCGAACGGGUGAGUAACACGUGAGUAACCUGCCCUUGACUGUGGGAGAACUUCAGGAAACUGGGGCGAAUACAGGAUAGGAGCUCCUGCUCCAUGGUGGGCGUUGGUAAGAUUCGGCUGUUGUGGAUGGACUCGCGGCUUAUCAGCUUGUUGGUGGGGUAGUUGCUUACCAAGGCUUUGACGGGUAGCCGGCGUGGGAGGGUGGACGGCCACAUUGGGACUGAGAUACGGACCAGUAUCCAACGGGAGGCAGCAGUGGGGAACAUUGCAGAGUGGGGGGAAGCGAGUUGCAGCAACGCCGCGUGCGGGAUGCCCGCCUUCGGGUUGUGAACCGCUUUCGACUUUGCUGAAGCGUGAGUGACGGUAAUGGGUAAAGAAGCCCCGGCUAACUACGUG
rnacentral:rRNA from 1 species